rnacentral:rRNA from 1 species
UACUGAAAGGGAAGAAGUGCUUCGGUACAGAAGAGGAUGGGGUGCGGAAAAGAAAGAGAGGGUUUUUUAUCGUAGUGUGUUCGAUCCCAACGGCGGCGGCGGCGACGGCGCGCGUAGGGUCGAGGAGGUCGCGGGCGGUGGCCUCUUCCGCGGGAGGAGAGGGAGCCGCCAACGGUGAGACCGACGCCACCGCGUCCGUGUACCUGGCCCGGGCCGAGGUCGGCGCCGUUGCGUUCCCCUCUUUCGCUUGGGUGCGGCUUGCCCCACGACUACCAGCUGGACGACCCCCGCGGCCCUUGCGCGACCCCCGCACCCUGGACGGAGUGUGUCCGCGACGAGCGUCGUCGACGGUACCGGAGGUGGCAGGCCCCGAUACCUACAUGAGGGAGGCCAGGAAAAAUGAGACGUGUAACCAAAACGGCUUUCAGUUUGAAACGAUUCAAACUGGUUUAAAUAUAAUUUUUAAUAAUCGUAGAUAUUAUAGAUUAUUUAUAUUAUACUUUUAUAUAAAGUUCUACUUAGAUUACUAUAACCACAACAAUACACUUACAGAUAUUAAAAAAUAUAUUUGAACCAGUUUCAACCUACUCUAACUGAAGUCUGUUUGGAUUAUACGUUUCAUUUUUCCUGGCCUCCCUCAUGCUACACCUGUUUAUGUAACAGACCGACCUCCACCUAAGACUUCGUCGUGACGAUGAAGUUCCUACUCAGACACCGUAAACGGGUGUCAAGUCUACCUAGACGGUAUUCCUCCUUGUUUGUGAUAAAUCGAAGACCUAGAAGCAAAGCUUACUGAGCUACACCGGAAACCGCUACCAGGACGAUCUAUCAAGUAGCUACCUUCAUUGUUCGUCAGGGUUCCGUAUCUAUUCGAGGAAACAAACUAUAUAAAAUCGAGGCAGGUCGUCCUACCCGUUGACCGAAGAGAAGUUAAUAAAUAUAGAUAGACAAAAUAACAUCCAAAGUGAUUUAAACUAAAAGUCAAAACAGAUGUAACUCAACAAACAACAAACUUAUAAAAUAGUUCAUCUUGGACCGAAGAGUACCUGGAGGGCAGUAAAAGGAUUUGUUAUCAAUCAUAUGAUAUGUGUACUUGAUGUCAAUGCCUCUAGACUUGAUCUUUAACGGGAUACCACAUAAUUGAGAAUUUAUAGCACGUGUUAGUACAUGUAAUUUACAAACCUAUUCUUCAUACUACAAGAACUAAUUGUAUCAAAUGACGUCGUUUAUGAAACGUACACGGAGGUUUCAAGAGAACGAACGGCGAAGACAACGUAGGAAGACCGUUGAACUGUCAUUUGACAACCUCCACUAUAUACCAACAGGGAAGGUAACGGACCAAACGAUGGUUACGAGUAAUUAAAAAACGUAAAGAAGAUACGGAUUUCAGCAGGUCGUCAAAACUAUACAUCAACGAAGAAGACGGUUACAAUAAGACCGUAAUCGCUUGACGAGCGGAUAUUAAAAAUGACACGUUUAUUUAUUUGCACGUAUUAAACAUAAAGUAGUAGAUGUUAAGACCCAAUAAAAUAUAAGAACCAACUCAAGAUGAAAUAAUCGGUUCUUUAAUAGAUAAACUAAACGGGCUUAUGUGUCAUUCCGGAUGAGGAAGAGAAAAUAACCUCGGUAUCAAACUAACUUGGUAUUACUCCAAUGUUCAUUAAAGAUAAAACUGUAGAUAUGUAAAAUAAACGAAGCGUAAGAACUAACUCUGCUCGCUCCUCCUUGUAACUGAUAAAUCGAUCCGUUAGUGUAGAUUCUGUUUUGCAGGUGUCAACAACAUACUCAGUUUCGAUAUGUCUUAUGAAGGUUCCUCCUUCGUUAUAUGCACAAAAGAAAAGCGAAGGAACGAGAACGAAUCAGGUAGUAAGAGAAAAUAGGUGUUUCAUUAGUUGACUGUAAGGGAAAACAAACCGUCGACCUUAAGUUUUAAAGUACACGAAACCAAUCUACUACUAAUGUUGCACCGGUCCGGAACUACUAAAAAAUCCAAAACAUUGUCCUUCAGCAGAGAUUUUUCAUUUUUAACAUAGUACGAACGACUAGUUUACUAGUUAGUACAACUCAAGCACGUAAGGUAACUAGAUUGUGCUACUCUUAUAUCUCUAUACAACUGUGUGGUCGUGUAAGGCAACAGUAUGUCUUGUUUCGAUUCCCCUACUAUGUAUUAGAGGAUCUAUACACGACUACAUGAGGAAUGCUCCUUCAACAACUUGUAAUGGUGUGCAUUACACCACCGACGACGCUGAGCACCACGAAACUCACGUGUUGGAAGCGGACGAGAGGGGCCGCAGAUGUCGCUGCUGGUAACGAAGAAGGCACUACGGGAGCUUACCUGUACCCAACGUAGCUCCUGAUGAUGCUACCACUCGUCUCGCUCAUACUGGACCUCUCGGAGCUGCUACCGUGCCUACUCGUCGACGAGACACGGCCGUUCAGAACACUGACGUUAACUUGCUGUACUGCCUCUCCACGAUCUAUGUCCCAAUUCCAACGAACAAAUAAACGACUCAAACUAUGUGAAAACCUGUUCACACAUUACCAACGUGGAACAUUGGUCCAUCUAUCGAGUGACUAUCAGGAGAUCCAAAUUGUAUGAAAAUCGAGAUUACAUGAACCGAACGAAAUGGCAGUAAGUAAGUUUUUUUAGGAUUUUUUAUGUACGUACACACGAUAGUUAAUUUCGGUG